rnacentral:rRNA from 1 species
UACGUAGGGUGCAAGCGUUAAUCGGAAUUACUGGGCGUAAAGCGUGCGCAGGCGGCUUGCAAGACAGAUGUGAAAAUCCCCGGGCUCAACCUGGGAACUGCAUUUGUGACUGCAAGGCUAGAGUACGAUAGAGGGGAUGGAAUUCCGCGUGUAGCAGUGAAAUGCGUAGAUAUGCGGAGGAACACCGAUGGCGAAGGCAGCUCGGCUAGGACGGUACUGACGCUGAGACGCGAAGCGUGGGGAGCGAACAGG